CGCAGGAUACAGUAUGUGUCCUAGGGCAGCAGCCAGGCUCCUGCACUCCCUCCAAACCUGCUUGCUGCCUGAGCUGCCCUCUUCCUUCCAGCUGGACUCCGCCAGGCCCAAUAUCUGCGAGCUGGUCCCACCUACUGCUCUCCCACGAUAUGAAAGAAAACAUUCAGAUCAAGGUUGAACUAUGUGACUCUUAAAUUCCAACCUUGGUUGGAAGGGGCCUCAGAGGAUGCCUAGCUCUCAGCAAGACAAGAACAUCUGCAGGAUGUAGAAGAAAACUAGCUCAGCAUGGAAAGUAGCCCAAGGCAGCCGCUGUGCCUGGAAACAUGCCAUAAAUCCCCAUGCCUCCCGUGCUUCCAGGAGGGAAGAUAUCUCACUUGGCUCCUCUUGGAUCAUUCCUGCCUGGUUCACUGUUUCUCCGUACCUACCAGGGCCACACGGAAUGUAACCAGUACAAGUUCCAACGUGUGGAAGGAGGAUGCAAAUUCUACCUCCGGGGGGAGCACAGAGGAGUAUGGAUGAGGCGAGGUCAGUGCCUUGUGCCGGCACACAGAGACAGCCGCCUGCCCUGGUUCCCCAGGAUUGUCGUCGUCAAGCGUGUCUGCGGAGCUCCGCUCGAGGCACAGCACGCCGGCCUGCCAGAACCUGGCCGGCUGAGUGGAGGCACAGGCUGACGCCUCACCAGGUCUUUGUCUGCCUUGGAAAGGAAGCUGCCCUGCACUAGGCGGGAAGGCUUAUGAGGAAAGCAGAUGAAGGAGAAUUUCGGUUACAGAGACACCAGCAGUCCCUGUGCUGGCAGAUGGAGGCAUUCACGGAAACACAAAAGACACAGUCUAUUUUAUCGAAUAAAAUGCAAACUAUU